GAUGAACGCUGGCGGCGUGCUUAACACAUGCAAGUCGAACGGAAAGGCCCUGCUUUUGUGGGGUGCUCGAGUGGCGAACGGGUGAGUAUCACGUGAGUAACCUGCCCUUGACUUUGGGAUAACUUCAGGAAACUGGGGCUAAUACCGGAUAGGAGCUCCUGCUGCAUGGUGGUGGUUGGAAAGUUUCGGCGGUUGGGGAUGGACUCGCGGCUCAUCAGCUUGUUGGUGGGGUAGUGGCUUACCAAGGCUUUGACGGGUAGCCGUCCUGAGAGGGUGACCGGCGACAUAGGGACUGAGAUACGGCCCAGACUCCUACGGGAGGCAGCAGUGGGGAAUAUUGCGCAAUGAGCGGAAGCCUGAUGCAGCAACGCCGCGUGCGGGAUGACGGCCUUCGAGUUGUAAACCGCUUUCGCCUGUGACGAAGCGUGAGUGACGGUAAUUGGUAAAGAAGCACCGGCUAACUACGUG
rnacentral:rRNA from 1 species